UCCCUCUUAGCUCAGUUGGUAGAGCGCGUCACUAGUAAUAGUAUAUGACGAGGUCAGUCGUUCAAGUCGGCUAGAGGGAA